rnacentral:rRNA from 1 species
GAGCUGGCACCGUCUGGGCGAAAGGGAAUCCGGUUCCUAUUCCGGAACCCGGCCGCGGAACCGCUCCAAUUCGGGCCCUCAUCCGAGGACUCGUCGGGGUGACCCGAAAUGACCCGGAGAAGCCGUAGGGAGGUCCGGGGAGAGUUGUCUCUUCUCUAUAAGCGUUCGAGUUCCCUGGAAGCCUCUAGGAGGGAGAUAGGGUUUGGAACGCGAAGAGCACCGCACUUACGGCGGUGUCCGGAUCUUCCCCUCGGACCUUGAAAAUCCGGGCGAGGGCCACGAGGAACACCGCGCCGGCUCGUACCCAUAUCCGCAGCAGGUCUCCAAGGUGAAUAGCCUCUAGUCGAUAGAAUAAUGUAGGUAAGGGAAGUCGGCAAACCCGAUCUGUAACUUCGGGAUAAGGAUUGGCUCUGAGGAUCGUGGCGCGCCGGGCUUGGUCGGGAAGUGGAGCGGUGCCAACGUGCCGGGCCUGGGCGAGGUGAAGGGCGCAAGCCUGGACCCUAGCUCGGUCCCGUGCCUUGGCCACCCACGGACCUUCCUUGCUGCGAGCCUCCCGGCUGUCUAGUUUUCGGCUUCGCCGGAGGACGGGCCGGAAGGCUCUUCGGCCGCCAUAGAACGAUCAACUUAGAACUGGCACGGACUAGGGGAAUCCGACUGUCUAAUUAAAACAAAGCAUUGCGAUGGCCCCAAGGGGUGAUGACGCAAUGUGAUUUCUGCCCAGUGCUCUGAAUGUCAACGUGAAGAAAUUCAAGCAAGCGCGGGUAAACGGCGGGAGUAACUAUGACUCUCUUAAGGUAGCCAAAUGCCUCGUCAU